rnacentral:rRNA from 1 species
UACGUAGGGGGCAAGCGUUGUCCGGAAUCAUUGGGCGUAAAGAGCGUGUAGGCGGCUCGAUAAGUCUGCUGUGAAAGUCCAGGGCUCAACCCUGGAAGGCCGGUGGAAACUGUCGGGCUAGAGUCCGGAAGAGGCGAGUGGAAUUCCCGGUGUAGCGGUGAAAUGCGCAGAUAUCGGGAGGAACACCAAUGGCGAAGGCAGCUCGCUGGGACGGUACUGACGCUGAGGUGCGAAAGCGUGGGGAGCAAACAGGG